CCUAAAACACAGGUAACUACUGUCGACCAACACCGUCCAACCAAAACCACAGGUAACUACUGCCGACCAGUACCGUCCAACCAACACCACAGGUAACUACUGUCGACCAACACCGUCCAACCAACACCACAGGUAACUACUGCCGACCAGUACCGUCCAACCAACCAACACCACAGGUAACUACUGCCGACCAGUACCGUCCAACCAACCAACACCACAGGUAACUACUGCCGACCAGCACCGUCCAACCAACCAACACCACAGGUAACUACUGCCGACCAGUACCGUCCAACCAACCAACACCACAGGUAACUACUGCCGACCAGUACCGUCCAACCAACCAACACCACAGGUAACUACUGCCGACCAGUACCGUCCAACCAAAACACAGGUAACUACUGCCGACCAGUACCGUCCAACUAACCAACACCACAGGUAACUACUGCCGACCAGUACCGUCCAACCAACCAACACCACAGGUAACUACUGCCGACCAGUACCGUCCAACCAAAACCACAGGUAACUACUGCCGACCAGUAACGUCCAACCAACACCACAGGUAACUACUGCCGACUAGUACCGUCCAACCAACCAACACCACAGGUAACUACUGCCGACCAACACCGUCCAACCAACACCACAGGUAACUACUGCCGACCAGUACCGUCCAACCAACCAA